GCAUAAGACCACAGUACCGCAUGGUACAGUGAUCAAAGGAAUUUAUUCGCUGAAGGAUGGCUUCGCGUCCGAUUAGGUAGUUGGUGAGGUAACGGCCCACCCAAGCCUACGAUCGGUAGCCGGACUGAGAGGUUGAUCGGCCACAUUGGGACUGAGACACGGCCCAGACUCCUACGGGAGGCAGCAUG
rnacentral:rRNA from 1 species